GAGGGUAUAGCUCAGUGGUAGAGUUUGUGCCUAGCAUGCCCAAGGUCCUGGGUUCAAUCCCCAAGACCACCA
rfam:Camelus ferus unplaced genomic scaffold scaffold2546, whole genome shotgun sequence.